GACGAACGCUGGCGGCGUGCUUAACACAUGCAAGUCGAACGGAAAGGCCCUGCUUUUGUGGGGUGCUCGAGUGGCGAACGGGUGAGUAACACGUGAGUAACCUGCCCUUGACUUUGGGAUAACUUCAGGAAACUGGGGCUAAUACCGGAUAGGAGCUCCUGCUGCAUGGUGGGGGUUGGAAAGUUUCGGCGGUUGGGGAUGGACUCGCGGCUUAUCAGCUUGUUGGUGGGGUAGUGGCUUACCAAGGCUUUGACGGGUAGCCGGCCUGAGAGGGUGACCGGCCACAUUGGGACUGAGAUACGGCCCAGACUCCUACGGGCGGCAACAGUGGGGAAUAUUGCACAAUGGGCGGAAGCCUGAUGCAGCAACGCCGCGUGCGGGAUGACGGCCUUCGGGUUGUAAACCGCUUUCGCCUGUGACGAAGCGUGAGUGACGGUAAUGGGGAAAGAAGCACCGGCUAACUACGU
rnacentral:rRNA from 1 species